CCUACGGGUGACUGCAGUGGGGGAUAUUGCUCAAUGGGGGGAACCCUGAUGCAGCGACGCCGCGUGGGGGAAGAAUCGCCUCGGCGCGGAAAGCCCUGUCAGCAGGGGAGAAAAUGACGGUACCUGAGGAUGAAGCCACGGCUAACUACGUGCCAGCAGGCGCAGUAAUACGUCGGGGGCCAUCGGUAUACGGAUUUACUGGGUGUUAAGGGGGCGCAGACGGCGAUGCAAGACAGGAGUGAAAGGCCGGGGCCCCACCCCGGGACUGCUCUUGGAACUGCGUGGCUGGAGUGCAGGAGGGGCAGGCGGAAUUCCUGGUGUAGCGGUGAAAUGCGUAGAUAUCAGGAGGAACACCGGUGGCGAAGGCGGCCUGCUGGACUGCAACUGACGUUGAGGCUCGAAAGCGUGGGUAGCAAACAGGAUUAGAUACCCCAGUAGUC
rnacentral:rRNA from 1 species